GCAGCGCCGCGCCGAACACCACGCCCGUCGUCUUCACGUCGCGCCAGUACACCAGCUCCACCACUAGGGGGCAGACACAGAGAGACGGUCAACCGGGACGA